rnacentral:rRNA from 1 species
GACGAACGUUGGCGGCGUGCUUAAUACAUGCAAGUCAACUGAAGCAGUGGUAGCAAUAUCGCUGUGGAGGUGGCGCACGGGUGAGUAACACGUAGGUAAUCUGCCUUCAGGUCUGGCAUAACUCCGGGAAACCGGGGCUAAUAGCAGAUGAUGCAGCGGCUCGACAUCGAGACAGUUGUUAAAGCUAUGGCGCCUGAAGAUGAGCCUGCGUCUGAUUAGCUAGUUGGCGGGGUAACGGCCCACCAAGGCAACGAUCAGUAGCUGGUCUGAGAGGAUGAUCAGCCACACUGGAACUGAGACACGGUCCAGACUCCUACGGGAGGCAGCAGUAAGGAAUAUUGCUCAAUGGGAGAAAUCCUGAAGCAGCAACGCCGCGUGAGGGACGAAGGGCUUUUGCUUGUAAACCUCUGUAGUGAGAGAAAAAAAUCCCAAUCUUUGGGACAUGAUGGUAUCUCAAAAGUAAGCCCUGGCUAACUACGUG